rnacentral:rRNA from 1 species
UACGAAGGGUGCAAGCGUUACUCGGAAUUUCUGGGCGUAAAGCGUGCGUAGGUGGUUUGUUAAGUCUGUUGUGAAAGCCCCGGGCUCAACCUGGGAAUGGCAAUGGAUACUGGCAAGCUAGAGUGCGGUAGAGGGUAGUGGAAUUUCCGGUGUAGCGGUGAAAUGCGUAGAUAUCGGAAGGAACACCAGUGGCGAAAGCGGCUUCCUGGUCCAGCACCGACGUUCAGGCACGAAAGCGUGGGGAGCAAACAGG